rnacentral:rRNA from 1 species
GACGAACGCUGGCGGCGUGCUUAACACAUGCAAGUCGAACGAUGAAGUUAUGAAGGAGGCUUCGGCCAACGGAAUGAUGGAUUAGUGGCGGACGGGUGAGUAACGCGUGAGUAACCUGCCUCUCAGAGAGGAAUAACAUUUGGAAACGAAUGGUAAUACCACAUAACAUUACGGGACCGCAUGAUCCUGUAAUCAAAGAUUUUAUCGCUGAGAGAUGGACUCGCGUCCGAUUAGCUAGAUGGUGAGGUAACGGCUCACCAUGGCGACGAUCGGUAGCCGGACUGAGAGGUUGAACGGCCACAUUGGGACUGAGACACGGCCCAG